GGUGAAUUCAAGCUUCAGUUCGGGCUCAAGUCUGCUCCUGUGUCUCUAACUUUACCUUCUUGGUUUAGUAAGUGAGCGGGAUGAUAUUAUUCUCUGAUGAUCAGAAGAGAUGAAUGUGAUGUCCCGGGAGGUCUCAGGAAGAUAUGCUGCUCAUGAGAUAUGGGUGUGCUGGCCUUAUGAACAGGGACUGUUUCGUCAAAUGCAAAUAGAAAACAGGGAUCCAGGCCACACAUGAAGAAGAGCUGUUAUCUGAUGUCAACAGUUUCAUCUUUACCCUGGGGCUCUGACCUCAUGUCAUCCUGAUCUGUGGAAAGACAGCGCUAGAAAUUUGAGGUUCCAAAUGACCACCCUGAUUGAUAGUUACACUAAAAUCUUAUGAGACAAAAUGUAAAAUACUGACUCCACUGCUCCUGUCAAGGAAGAGUUGUUCUGCAACUAAUUGUUUUUUAAAUGGUUGUGCCUGUCAAGUAUACCCUACAUGUAUUAAGUGUUCAGGAAAUCCUAAGUCAAGGAAUUGUUGAUAGAAAAACAUCAUCACAAAUGAGUAAUAUUUCAUGGAGUUCUUAAUGAAUUUAAAGUACUGAAUCAGGAUGGAAGGCAUACAUCAGAGUUAUCUGGUACAGACUUUGGUUGUAUAUGACUUUGGGUGACUCAUUUAAUUUUAAUUUGAUUUUUUCAUGUUAAGUGAAUAAACUAAUACCACCUAAUUGCAUGCAGGUAGUUAUAAAGCUAAGAUAACCACAAAGUUUAAAGAUGAAAAAUAGAUCAUCUAUAGACAACAAGAUUUAUCUUCCAGUGCUAAAAGAACACAAAAUUCAUAUAAAAUUUUA